rnacentral:rRNA from 1 species
UACGUAGGGGGCAAGCGUUGUCCGGAUUCAUUGGCGUAAAGAGCGUGUAGGCGGCCAGGUAGGUCGGUUGUGAAACUGGAGGCUCAACCUUCAGAGGUCGACCGAAACCAUCUGGCUAGAGUCCGGAGAGGAGAGUGGAAUUCCGUGGUGUAGCGGUGAAAUGCGCAGAUAUCAGGAAGAACACCCGUGGCGAAAGCGGCUCUCUGGAACGGUACUGACGCUGAGACGCGACAGCGUGGGAGCAACAGG